rnacentral:rRNA from 1 species
UAGGGAAUCUUCCGCAAUGGACGCAAGUCUGACGGAGCAACGCCGCGUGAGUGAAGAAGGAUUUCGGUUCGUAAAACUCUGUUGUUAGAGAAGAACAGCGCAUAGAGUAACUGUUAUGCGUGUGACGGUAUCUAACCAGAAAGCCACGGCUAACUACGUGCCAGCAGCCGCGGUAAUACGUAGGUGGCAAGCGUUGCCCGGAUUUAUUGGGCGUAAAGCGAGCGCAGGCGGUCAAUUAAGUCUGAUGUGAAAGCCCCCGGCUCAACCGGGGAGGGUCAUUGGAAACUGGUUGACUUGAGUGCAGAAGAGGAGAGUGGAAUUCCAUGUGUAGCGGUGAAAUGCGUAGAUAUAUGGAGGAACACCAGUGGCGAAGGCGACUCUCUGGUCUGUAACUGACGCUGAGGUUCGAAAGCGUGGGUAGCAAACAGG